UCCGGGUCAGUCCCCGUAUCUCCGGGCUCCCUUUCUUCCCGCGGACCCUGGGAGUCGGAUUGGGCAUGUGCUACUUUUCGCAGGCCGUCGAAUGCUGCGGAGCCCAGCCACUCACCCGCAGCAAGGGCCCGGGCCAGGUUCUGCGCGAUUGUGCGACUGUGCGUGCUUACCUGGCUGAUCUGCAGCAGCCCAGGGCAGCAAUACUCAAAUCCGGGAUCUACGGGCUGCACGGAAUCCGAAGGCUUGAACCUGAGUUGCAGGGCUUUGCUAUGUGAAAUAGCUAGUUCGCAGGUGUGGAAGGUAAGAAGGUCUUUGGAAGAAAGACACCACUGAAGUGGAACACUGUGCGUUAGGCGGGAAGAGAAACUAGGAUGAGCUUUGGCAGUCUCAGUCUUUCAAGGAAUCUAUUCCAGUGCUAAAAUGUGAAAUGACUAGAAGACAAGAAGGAAGAAAAAGUAUUCUUUUCUGGAAAUAUUCUCAGAGAGGGAGGAAGUGGAGAGAGGAACAGAAAGAGAGAGAAAAAAACAUCAGUGUGAGGCAGAAACACUGAUUGGUUGCCUCCUGUACACAACCUGACUGUGGAUCAAACUGGGAAUUGAAUGCACGGCCUCUCGGUCCACAGUAGGAUGCUCCAACCAACCAAGCCACACCGGACAGUGUACAAAGUGUACUUUUUUUUUACAUUAGUUCUUACUAAUGUAAAGUUUUGGGCUUAGAUUAUAAGGAAUGUCCAUGUUUCCCUGUAAACUUAUUUUUAUAAAUCUAUUUCUAAAAGUGAAGUGACUGGGUAAUCUGACCCUGAGCAAAAACUAUCCAUGCCAGCCUAGCACUGGAAAGCUUACAUCUAAUCCUAACACCACACUUCACAUAAUUUAAGUGCUGUUGAUAUUGCAAAAUCCCGAGGUGUUGCUCUGUUUAGUUACACUUUAACCAGUUGGCAUAGCCAGUACUGCUUCACAGAACACUAAAAAAAAAAAAAAAAAAACCCAAAAACAAAGGCUUGGCUUAUAGAAAGUAAAGAUAUGCUUUAGAAAAAAUAACAAUAAAGACAACUGGACUUAGUAUGGAAUAUAAGACUUAAAAAUUCCAUAGAAUAAGGAAGGAAAGUAAGAAUUUACUUAUAAGCAUUUUAAAAGCUUUUGCCUUCUCACCAAGAAGUGCUCUCAUACUAAACUUUUGGUUUGGGUUGCCUACAGGUAUGUUUACAGCAGUCCUUCCUUGUCUGGGGCAGAUACAUUCCAAGACCCCCAGUGGAUGCCUGAAACCACGGAUAAUAUAAACCAUAUACUAUGUUUUCUACUGUUUAUACCUACCUAUAAUAAACUUUAAACUAUUCUUGCAAUUCGGGACCAUUAUUAACUAAAAUAGGAGUUGCUUGAAUACAAGCACUGCAAUACCACAAUGGCCGAUUUGAUACCAAGACAGCUUCUAAAUGACUAACAGGCAGGUAGCAGCAUACAGCACGAAGACACUGGACACUCUGUGUCCACAUCACAAGUGGACAGAGCAGGACAGCAUGAGAUUUCAUCGGAGUGCUGAGAAUGUCAUGUAACAUAAAACUUAUGAAUACUUAUUUCUGGAAUUUUCUAUUUAUUAUGUUCAGACUGCCAUUGACUGAGGAAUAAAACCUGUGGAAAGUGAAACUUUUGAUAAA